UAGGCCAUUGAGAUGACCUGGGCAAAAUAGGUGAUAGAGCCUGGAAUGAGGCCAAGGCAGGUGGUCAGGUGGCCGUUGGAAGCUUUACCUAAUGAGCCAGCAUAUUGUGGCUGGCUUUAACCUGUGUUUGAUAAACUCCGUCUCUGCUUCAACUAACAUGUUGACCUGUGGAUUAUGCUCGUGGUAGCACAGCACAGUUUCCAAAGCUUCUCAACACUUGGUAACUUUCCGAAGAGAAAACUUUCUCCCUCCAGUAGGGGGUACCAGAACCAGGAGAUGCUCACCUGGUGCUUGGUAAAGCAUGGUGUUGGUACCUUCUACGAGGACUGCCUCCACCUGGAAAGGCUGCUGGUACAACGUUGAGCUCUGAGUCUAAGGAAACGGCCUCUGCUCUGCCUCUGCCGUUUGUUAGCUGUGCCAGCUCGAACGAGUCUCUCCUCCUCCUGGGACUCUGUUUCCUCUCCUGGCACGGCCUUCGCAGCGCAGUGAGGCCUCCGUGGGCUGCUGUAGGUGGUGAUGUCGCUACACCCAGCACUCAGAGUGUGCUUCCCACCCCUGACUCCGCUUGCAUGCCCCUCCCUAAACGUUGCUGAUGAAAUAUGGGUGACCUCACCUGAUGUGCUUAGAGUAGAGAACUAGCAGAGUUGCACACGCUACACAUAAGAGCAGAAAUUUGCUAGAGAGUUUCUGAGACUGCAAAUAUACAUCUUAAUUAAACUAACACAUUCCCAUUUAUGCCAGCCUAGCACUGGACUUCACCUGAACCCCAUUGCCCCAGCCCAGAGAGACAAACUAAGCAGAUAGCUCUUGACAGUUUUUCUUGUAAUUGCAACAAAGCUUCGAUGUCAGCGUCUCAGGGUGACCUACACUCUGAAUAUUAAAUAUACACAGCCAUAUCUUGUUUUACUGCGCUUUGCAGAUACUGUGCUUUUUACAAACUGGAGGUCUAUGGUUACCCUGCGUUGAGCAAGUCUAUUGGCACCAUUUUACCCACAGCAUUUGCUCACUUCGUGACUCUGUGUCACAUUUUGGUAAUUCCCAUAUUUCAAAGCCUCCACAAGGAAAAAGACUACAACUUGCUGAAGCCUCAGAAGACAGUUAGCAUUUUUUAGCAAUAAAGUAUUUUUAAGUUAUACACAUUGAAUUUUUCAGACAUAAUGCUAUUGAGUGCUUAAUAAGCUGCAGUAUAGGAUAAACAUAACUUUUUUUUUUUUUUGCCUUUUGUCUUUUGUUGUUGUUGUUGUUGCUAUUUCUUGGGCCGCUCCCGCGGCAUAUGGAGGUUCCCAGGCUAGGGGUCGAAUCGGAGCUGUAGCCACCGACCUACGCCAGAGCCACAGCAACGCGGGAUCCGAGCCGCGUCUGCAACCUACACCACAGCUCACGGCAACGCCGGAUCGUUAACCCACUGAGCAAGGGCAGGGACCGAACCCGCAACCUCAUGGUUCCUAGUCGGAUUCGCUAACCACUGCGCCAUGACGGGAACUCCAAAAACAUAACUUUUAUAUGCACUGGGAAGCAAUUUAUUGUGAUCCUGACUUUGUUGUGCUGGUCCAGAGCAGAACCUGCACAUAUCCCUAAGCUAUGCCUGUAGUUUGAACCCUGUAAACCGCUAUUUGUGUAGGACAAAAUAGUCAACUAUUAGCAACAUCCUAUGGCUAUCUUUAUACCAUCUUCAUGGUGGAUAGUCAAAGUAUUAAAACUUAAAAACUAUUUAUUAAACUAAACGUGUCUUUUCUUUUUCCUGCCAUUUGGGUUGGUUUGAUAGAUAUUCAAUGCUGACUCUGAGCCAGGCCCUGGCUGUUUCUUACAAACAGAAAAAUUAGAGGCGACUGUUACUUCCAAGGAAUACACAGUUUAGUGGUGGAAAGUGAGGGUUAAACGUUUGCUCUCUGGACACUGAGAUCCUAAGACUUAAGUAGCUGGAGGUUGAGCUCUGUGGGAGCAGUUUACCAAGGACAGCUCGCCUGGGGGGCCGGCCCCCUUGCAGGUUAUCACAACCUUGUGCAGUGGAAAUGGGCUUGUAUUUUUUUGGUGGGUCAGUAAACGUGUUUCAGAGUUUUGGUGAAAUCUCUCGUCAUUUAAGUCUUGGUGGGAGAAGAACUGUGACCCUCACUAUGGAAGACAAAGGGAAAAAAACAGUCCCCUUCUGUCCGGAAAGCAAGCCCGUGGCCGCAAGAUCUGAGCUCGACAAUCAGGUGCUUCAAGCUCAGGCCUUGCUGCUGAGUAGUUGGCAUAAGAACAAAGGGGCAAGUUAGAGUCCAUGGGACAGCAGGCCGCAGCGGUGGUGGUGUCUAGCAGCCGGGUCUGGCAGUGACUGUGCUUUGGAGAAACAGUGAUGAUGGUGUCUUUAUCAGCUUCCUAAAAGAACGCUUCUCCCCUGGGCUGUCCUUCAUGACCCCAAGUCCAUCUGGUUCCUGCUUGGCUAUGUAGCAUGGUUUUCAGCCUUCCCAUAAUACAUACUAUCAGCUUCUAGGUAUCCUUCUGCUCAGUAGCUUUCCUGCUCACCCAGGGUACUGGAUUUCUGCUCAUCUACUCUGUUGCUUGCAACCUAGAAACAUGAUGAUGCAAGUUGUUUGUUAAAUGUCAUCAGAAUGUGGCCACCAGUGCACAAGGGCCUUUACCUAAAUAUAUAUAUAUGUAUAUUUGCAUUUAGUCCUCGAAAACAAACCCUGUAAAGUGGACCUUACCCCCACCGCACAGGAAGAAAAUGGAAGUUGAGAGAUUGUGUUGCUUAGAAGUUAGGGUUGUGGUCUCUGGAGUGGAACCUCUCAGAGCAGAGUGAGUUACCAUAACUUAUCACCAUCUAAGAAAUGGAAAUAAAAGUAGCAUUUAUCUGAAGGGGCUUGGUGAAAAUUAAUUGUACACACAAACCACUUAGAUCUGUGUCUGGCAGUAAGAACUUCUGUCAGUGUCGGCUGUCAGGACUGCUGGGUAAUUUAGCUCAGGUCUUUUAGCUGGUAAAUGUCAGAACCAAGGUCAGAACGGACUCAGGUCUUGGAGCUGGUAACUCUCAGAACCAAGGUCAGAACGGACUCAGGAUGUUCCUGAUUCUAAAUGCUGGUCUCCAGCCUUGAAAAUAUACUUAGAAUGCUUUUCUGAACAAAUCCCUUCCCUCCCUGGAGUUAAAGUUCAGGUGAAUGACUCAUGUUCCUAUUUCCUUGAUUUGUCCACAUAGAUGGCAAGAACAGGAAACGUUUGAUAAAAUAGCAAAAAAUGAAAGUCAAACACUAAAAGAAGCAGCUCACAUUUAUUCACUGGUUCUCUGUAUCAAGAUGCAUUAGAGAUAUUCACUUAAUAUUGACAAUAACACAAUGAGGAAGAUAAUGCUUUCUUGGGGGGGUUGAAGGAGUUGGUGCUGGAAUUCUUCUACUUGCCAAAAUUCUGCGUAAUUGAGGUAUAUAAAAAAGAAGUGAGACUAUGGAGCUCAAAAUAGACCAUUAUGCUAAUAAAUCUAAUAUUGAAAAAUAUAUGCAGAUUUAUUUAUAAAAGUGGACUUUCUUACACUGAGCUGCAGAGUUAAACUGACGUACCAAGCAGCAGCGGAUGAUAGAAGGAAACUUGAACUUGGACCCAUGCAGCUCUAGACCCUGAGUUCUGACCAUUAUGGCACACUUCUGGACAACUGCAGCUGCAUGGGGCCUCGCUCAGAACACAGUCACAGACAGAAGACUGUGCUCGAGGAAUAGCCAAGCACACACUUCCCUACGCAGCCGGGGGCCAGGCUUCACUGCCCCUCCCUGGUCUUCUGCCUUCUGCUGAAUUCCAUGUGUCGCCUUGCACACAACCUGAGCCAAGGUACUUCUUGUGUGGUGGUUAAGGCGAGCAUCGCCCUCCGUUUCCCACACUGCACGUCGUUUGAGUGCCACUGCUGAGUGCCCAGAGAGACACACAGUUGGAAGCCUCGGCCGGGGUGGGAGCAGGACCCUUCAAGUAGGAUGAACAGACGGUUUGGAUUCAGGCCAGGUGAGCCAGGUGCCAGAACUAUGCCUCAACAUAGAGCCUGUGUCAGAUUAUGAAACUAAUUCAGCUGGUGGCCUGAAACCAGAGGCAAGACAUUGUGUCUGUGCCUAAGAAGAACUUGGAAGGUCGUGGUUGACAGAUCUUUACAUUGUCUUUGCCUGUCGUUCUCACCUUUAGUCCCAGAUGAGCAAGAAGCAGGGCUCUCUAAUCCUUACGAAGGUAAAGUGUGUCUCAGGGCAGGUGGGCAACCUUUCCAACCUGAUACACUUAUUUAUAGGCAGAGAUGAUCAUUUUCUGGAUAAGUAAAUGCAUUAAAGAGGUCAAAAGAAAACAGACUCUUCAGAAAGUUUUCCAUCAGCCAAGCCAGGCCCAUUCUGUCAUUUCUAGCAAUACAAAAGAAAGCAUGGAAAAUGAUUCCCUGUGGUCUUCUUAAUUACCACUGUUCUUUAAAGAGUUGGAAACCCAGGCAUUCGCUGGACACUUAAUUAAGGUGCCUACCUAAUGAAAAAAAAAAUGGAAUUUUUAUUUUAAGCCAGAAAAGUAAGGGGUUAAAGGAAAGAUUUCUUUAUGUAUGUGGAGGGCUCCUUGUAAGUGAGAGACUAGCUUUGUCAUCUGACCAGUCCAGAUGGAGUUCUGACAUCAGCUUAGAGGUUGUAAGUGGUGCAAAUAUUAUGUCACUGUAUAAUUGUACUCUGCUUAUGAAGUAAAUGGUGUUUUCCUGUUAUUCUCAUAUUAUUAGGAUACGCAUGUUCUUUGGGACACUUAUCAAAAUGAACUGUCACUCAGUGGACUGGGAUGCUUCCUACUUUUCCCGAGAGCUUCACAGUGCACGCCCUUAUGUCUCUCAGGAAAAAACCAGCCUCUCGGUUGCACAUGUCUUAGCCUGCUGCCCUAAGUGCCCACAUGGCUAGGUUGCUUUGACGAGCACAACUGUCUCCAUUGAUGAUGGCAGCCAUGGCCCUACUCCAGCCAGAGGGACAGGUCACUUCCUUCCUGCAUAGAGAAUUAAAUCCAGUUUGUAUCAUCGUUUGCUAGUGAGAACAGAACUCAAGGAUGGCUUGUGCCGCAGGACUCUCAAACUGCUCUCCAAGACAUGGAUACUUCUAAUAAGUAGAUGUCUUUAUGUUAUGUUUACAUUAAUUCUGCCGGGCAGCUGCCAGUAAGAAAGAGAGAGGGAGAGAGGGAGAAGGAGGAGGAGAAAAAAAGAAAAGAAAUGUGGAUGGGGGAGCAGAGGAGAUGGAGGGAGAGAAGGGAGAGAAGGAAGGGGAGCGGCAGGGAGGAGAGAGGAAAGGAAGAGAGUGGAGAGAAGGAAGCAGGUGUCUGCUGUUGCCUCGCCAGCCUGCUUCCCGGUGGUCAGAUCAGUCAGGUCCUCGCAGCUGUCACAGAGCUAGGCAGCACUCAUUUUCAAGCUGGCCCUGUUACUGUCCCACAUUCUCUCUUCCUUUAGUUUUGUCUCCAACCCAGACCAAAUGUAAAUGGUGAGGUUAUAAGAAUUAGAUUCAGGGGAAGCCAGACACUCUUCUUGGACUUAAGACUAAGCCACAGGUGCCGGCCCUGCCUUUGCAGGACCCUGCAAAGGGGUGUUUGUUGGGAACGUUCUCCUGUGUUCCAGUAAUUCUUUAAUUUCCGCCUCACUGCCAUUUCUUGUGUCCAUAACUCCCUCGGGAAGCCCGCACGUAAGUUGUUGCCGCAGUAAUGUUCUGUAACACAGUAGAUGAAAGGCCAAGGCGUAAAACAAACAUGAUUGAUUCUGGAUCAAGUGUUUGCUGGUCAGCUUGGUGCCCAGCUUCAGACGCAGCCCUGAUCUCCCCCAUGUCUUCUCUCCUCCUGGGCCCAGCAGCAGCCCUAGGCAGGGGUUCCCACUAUGAGAGCAGAAGGACAAGAGAUGCAAACACAGCCACUCGGUGCUUCUUCAGCCUUAGUCUUGGAACUGAUGUCCAAAAUCUCAUGCAAACCCACCUUUAAUGAGAUGGCCUUUAGUGAGAGGAAUUGCAAAUUAAAAGUGUCUAAAUUAGGAGUUCCCGUCGUGACGCAGUGGUUAACGAAUCCGACUAGGAACCAUGAGGUUGCGGGUUCGGUCCCUGCCCUUGCUCACUGGAUUGAUGAUCCGGCAUUGCUGUGAGCUGUGGUGUAGGUUGCAGAUGCGGUUCGGAUCCCGCGUUGCUGUGGCUCUGGCGUAGGCCGGUGGCUAGAGCUCUGAUUGGACCCCUAGCCUGGGAACCUCCAUAUGCCGCGAGAGCAGCCCAAGAAA
rnacentral:lncRNA from 1 species